rnacentral:rRNA from 1 species
UACGAAGGGGGCUAGCGUUGCUCGGAAUGACUGGGCGUAAAGGGCUCGUAGGUGGCUAACUAAGUCAGACGUGAAAUCCCUCGGCUUAACCGGGGAACUGCGUCUGAUACUGGAUGGCUUGAGUGUGGGAGAGGGAUGCGGAAUUCCAGGUGUAGCGGUGAAAUGCGUAGAUAUCUGGAGGAACACCGGUGGCGAAGGCGGCAUCCUGGGCCGUUACUGACGCUGAGAAGCGAAAGCGUGGGGAGCAAACAGG